CUUAUCUCUAUUGUUUUGUGCUUCAAGAGGUUAAGUAGCAUUCACUACUAGAAGACAAAGCUAUUAAUUAUAAUUCUACCAAACAAUAAUGGCACCAGAUUGGCUCCUAUAUUUGCACCAAAGGAAUCACUUCUUUUUUGUACAUAGUUUAAAUGGUGCAACGGUUACUAAAAUCUUCAUGCCAUUAACCUUGUGGAUUUCAUUGAAGUACUAAAUUACAGAAUCUGUUGAAGCAUUUUCCUAAAAACGGCUUGUUAUACUUCUACUUCCAUUCAUUAGUCUCCUUCUCCUUUUGGUUUUACCUUUAGUAUCUUGAGUUUAACAAAUAUACUGUAACAGUGUAAUUGUUGGUUGAUAAAUUCUGGAGAAUCAUAUAUUUGGCUGCAAGAUUUUCAGUUUGAUUCUUAUUUAAAUUCAUAGUUAUAAAUAGUUUAGAUUAGAUUUAAGUUUUUUCUUGACAUCUGAUAUCAAUUGAAUUAGAAGCGAAGUACUAAAUAAAGCUCCUGACUGUUUAUGCUUACUACAAUGUGUGAUCUUUCUCUCUCUUGUUUACUUGUAUUAAUUGAACUUUACUUCUAUUAAUGUUCUUGCCAGGACUUCAAACAUAAAGAAGCCUUAGUUUCCAUAUUGUGUAUUGAAAUUUAUUAUCUAUACCACUUCACUCUUAUGCAUACAAAUGAUGGGUAGAGAUUUAUCCUUCUCAAACGGAACAAAUAAAUAUUCCAAAUGUUCCCACGCAUAAAUGCUCCUGCUAAUCUUUUAAUACAUACCAUAUCAUGUAUAGUUGCUUCUGUUCAUCAUAUUGCCAUCAUUUUUAUUAUUUCCAUGUUAUUGCUUUUGUUAUCGAAUAUUUAAGUUUUAUAUUUUACAAACUUUUGUAUAGGCAGCAUCUAUAUUACUAAUAUUAUAAUUGUUUAGAAAUUUAAUUUAUUGUUCUAACGUUUCGUUUGUUAGCAUCUCGACUUCGAGAAAAACUUAAAUGAUAGCUUCUUUUCUUGGUAAUCAAUUUCAUCUAUUUUGGAAUGCUCUUAAAGAGGCUAACUUCCAUCUACUUGUACAACUCAGAGUGUUUAAUUUCAGUAAUCAAAAUCGACUUAGUGGUAAUGGUAACAGAUAUUCCGACUUUUACAUUUUAUAAAUUUCUAUUAUCACUUUAUUCUCUAACAUUGUAACGGUUACUAAAUUCGACGUGACUAUCCACGCAGGCUUGCAUUUUAAAAUUAAUUGUGCAGACUCUGUUUAACACUUACCUAAAUACAGCUUAACCGUGACGGUUCGCUUUCCUCUCCCAACAUUUAAGACCUCGACAAUUUUUUUUUUUUAUGAAACCAUAUCUCCAGUGUACAGAUUUCAGUUGAGCAUCUAUGUAUACUGGAAACCACUAAAUAUCUGGUGCAUGCUACUGGUGACACAGAAAGCCUUGUUCAUAGCCUCGAGGAGUUCUACUCAAGCGUGGAUCAACUCAAUCAAGACUUUGACAAAUCUCUCAUUCUUAAAAGUUUGUUGGCUUAUUCGUCCCCAGUUGAAUUAAUCGAGAGUUCGAAUCUGACCAUGAAGCAGUCAGGAGUUCCUGAUAAGAAAUUCCAAAAGAAGGAAACUAAAAGAAGGUAUGCUGUGGAAAUGGGAAUGACUCCUAAUGAAAACGAUGCAUAUUUGGAUCUCAAACUGUCACCUCCAGGGCUCUACUUAAGAGGUAAAUCGUCUGAUGAAUCAAAAUCUUCAUCCCCAAGAUCUCAAGACUCGUGCGUGUCUGCGGAGGUCGAGUCAAUUGCCAACUCGGAGAAUAACCUUCGAGUCGAAGGUUCAUCGUUGAUUGCAAUGGGAUGUACUUUUUGCCUGAUUUACGUGAUGGUGACGGAUGCAGAUCCCAGAUGCCCUAAAUGCAAAAAUCCUGGCUUGCUGGACAUUUUCCGUGGAAAUCAGGCAAAGAGAUCUAGAAAGAACUAGUUUUCUCUCAAGAAGCUAACAUGGUGGAUGGCUUCUAAUUGUUCCAGUAUGCUCUGAACUGAUCCACCCUCUGCUUUUUUUCUUAGUGUUCUAAACUGUCUUCCUUGCUGCUGAUUCUGCUGCUGCAUGCACCAUCUUUUUACUUAGAGAGUCAGAAUAGUUAUCUUCAAUAAACAUUAUAGUUUAUGCUUCUGGUUUGCUCUGUAGUUUUUCCUGCCUGUCUUGCCCUUCUAUUGAGAAGACAAAUUUCUUUUGGUCUUCAUCAAAACAGGUUUUUAUAUAACAUAUUAGUUACAGUGAGCCAGUUCUUAAAGAUAGUUAAAAUUUUCCUUUCUUUAGGCAAAUCACAGGGAGUUUGUUUCUUUUUCUGUGCAUUCACUCUGUUGAAGACCUUUUUCUGUGCAUUUUGUUGUUGUUAAAAGAAUAGGAUGGGAAGAGAAAACUGUGGUUGUUUUGGUGGCUUGUCUGGGCGGUAAGACAAGGCACGGUGAAUCGUCUUUCCCGAGUUCAAAUCCGGGGUGCUGUGACCCUCUAAUCGCCCCAAGCUCAUAAACUAGUACAUCAUUCAGAAGAACAAAGAAUUCAAUAAUUUACUGGGUGAGCCUGUGCUGGGUAUCUGUCUUCA